CCUCCUCCUCCUCCUCCUCCUCCUCCUCCUCCUCCUCCUCCACUUCUGCUGGGUGGCCCCCUGCUCCCUGGAGGGGGCACUCACACGGAUGCUCUCGUCGCCAAAGUGUCAGCCGUACAGCAAACCACCAGCCGGGACAAACAAGAUUUUUUCCCUAAGCCCUCAGCACCCUGCUUCCAUUUGUGCUCCGUCUGGCUCUGUCUGCACAGGAAAAAUCCUAACUGAUGUUAUCAGUCUGCAUUCCUCCUUCCGUCACCCUUUUAGACCUCCGUUUGGAAGUCGCCCUCCUGGACGUCUAAGGACUGGCCUUGUGGAGAAAAUGCUUUUCAGGGGCGGCCCCCCUUCUCUCGCCCCCCCACCAGCUGCUGGCAGGCAUCACUAUUUACAAUAGCAGGGGGGAGCGGGGCCUACCAUUAUCUGAGCAUGCCCGUUCGGGAAGGUUCCUGUUGCAUCACCGCUGAUGGGGUCCUGACAGUUUCUGAGACGACAUCUGAACGCAUCCUGGACCUGAAGAAUA